AAAUAAUUAAAACAUUAGAAUUUAUUUCUUUGUCUAAAAAAUGCUUCUUGAUUUUAUAUAUAUAUAUAUUUUUUUUUAGAUAUUUAGGCUAAAAACAAAACUAUGAACAAUGAAUUCACUCAAAAGUGUCAGUAUUUAUUGUCACCAUGCUAAUCCAAACCUCUACUGUCGUUUAUAGAGUUGCGUAAAGCUACAAUUCAUCAUGACUGUGCUUCCCAAAGCAUUUCAGCUCUAAAAUGUUAUUUUAUAAGGACUACAUGUGACUUCUGUACAUUUCAGCAGGUAAACAGCCUUCAGGAGGUGCUUAUCCCUCAUUUUUCUUAAUGACUUUGCAGGUAAAAACUCAUGACUGACGUUUGUUUGUUGUAUGAAGUGUGCUUUUAAAGGGAACAUGAAUGCAGAAACGCUGCCUUAAUGCACCUAAAGCAGGCACCAUGAACUAUUGUUUUAAUCUUUAAACGUAUAUUAGUCCAAAAAUAGUAUUUAAACUUUAUCAGAUAUGUAUAUUGUACACUAAAGGUAUAUUUGAUUGGGAAGCAAACCUGUUUGUUGUACCAAAGCAUAUGUAUAUUUUUAUUAUAAGUCAAAUGUCGGAUGACGCUAACGCUAACAGACUGAUCCUGCAGCUAAGCUAAUGGAAAGUAGCAUUUCUACUUUUGCACACGAUCUGAUGUGUCCGAUGUGGGAUAUUUCCACACUCUUCCUCUGUGCCAUAUGUCUAAAUUGAUGUUUUAUACCAAGUUACGAGAUGUAAUUAAUGGCGUUUGUUUAACUGAAGUCCGGUUUUAGCAUUUAGCGCUAGUCCAUUUUAAAGCGCAUUCACAUCAUGAACAAUAACUGUAAUGUGAAACAUGCAUGUUGAUAAAGACAUUGCAGUUAUAUAUUUUUAUUAUCAUAUUAUAGUGAUUCUUCUUGGUAUGAACAAGCCGUUAUUCUUGUUAAUAUUAUACACCAGUGAUGUGCUUGAUUAGUUUUAAUAUACAGUAACAACACUGAUAUGGGUAGUCCUAGUUUUUCCUAACCUUUUGUAUUAAAUGAAUUUAGUAAUUUUGUCAUGUUGCAUUGUUUUUAUUUCUUCAUUUGUUUAUAUCAGGGAUACAACUGUCAUUCACGUGUGAGAGAAAAAGAGAGUGUGUGGGUGUUUUCCCAUAAAUUACAUAAAAGUAUACCCCCCAUAAAUUGUAUAAAAAUGUAUAAAAUUACAUGAAAGUAAUUGCCAGUUCAUUCCACUGUGGUAACCCCUGAUUAAUCAGGUACUAAGCUGAAGGAUAGGGAGAUUGCCCAACGCUAUCUCAUGCCAAUUCUUAACAUUUUACCUCAUAAAGUGAGUAAACCUGUUGCUUUCAAAGCGAUUAGAUGACUUAAAAAUUUAUUAGUUGGCUUUAAAAGCGAUUAGUUAACUUUAAAAAUAGAUUGCUUCCCAUCUUUAAAAAAGCGCUUAGUUGACUUUGAAAGUGAUUAGUUGACUGAAGGCGAUUAGAUGGUUUUAGAAUUGAUUAGUUGGCUUUUAAUAAGGCGAUUAGUUGGCUUUAAAAGCGAUUGGUUGACUUUGAAAACAAUUAGUUGGCUUUAAAAUUAAUUGCUUGGCUUUUUUUAAAAGCGAUUAGUUGACUUUAAAAGUGAUUAGUUGACUGAAGGUUGACUUUAAAGUUGAUUGCUUGGCUUUUUAAAAAGGUAAUUACUUGUCUUUAAAAGCAAUUGGUUGACUUGGAAAGAGAUUAGUUGACUUUGAAAGUUGACAUUAGUUGAUUAGUUGAAUUUAGAAUUGAUUGCUUGGCUUUCUUUAAGCGAUUAGUUGACUUUGAAAGCAGUUUGUUGACUUUUGAUAGCGAUUAGUUGACUUUGAAAGCGAUUUGUUUACUUGAAAAGCGAUUGGUUGACUUUGAAAGCUAUUUGUUUGCUUUGAGAGCGAUUAGUUGACUUUAAAAGUGAUUAGUUGGCUUUGAAAGCAAUUAGUUGGCUUUAAAAUUAAUUGCUUGCUUUUUAAAAAAGGUGAUUAGUUGACUUUGAAAGAGAUUUGUUUGCCUUUUAAAGCGAUUAGUUCAUUUUGCAAGGGAUUAGUUUACUUUAAAAAACAAUUAGUUGGCUUUAUAAUUGAUUGCUUAGAUUUUUUUUAAAGGCAAUUAUUUCACUUUGAAAGUGAUUUGUUGACUUUGAGGUUAUUAGUUGGCUUUAUCAUUGUAUGCUUGGCUUUUUUUAGGGUGAUUUGUUGACUUUGUAAGCGAUUAUUAGUUCACUUUAAAAGUAAUUGGUUGACUUUGAAAGCGAUUAGUCGGCUUUGAAAGCGAUUAGUCGGCUUUGACAGCAAUUGGUUGGCUUUGAUAGUGAUUAGUUGGCUUUAAAGGCGAUUAGUUGGCUUUGAAAUUGAUUGCUUGGCUUUUUUUACAGGCAAUUUGUUGUCUUUAAAAGCGAUUAGUUGACUUUUAAAAGCAAUUGGUUGACUUUGAAAGCGAUUAGUUGACUUUUAAAAGCAAUUGGUUGACUUUGAAAGCGAUUACCUGGCUUUAGAAUUGGUUGUAUGGCUUUUUAAAAAAGGCAGUUAGUUAUCUUUAAAUGCGAUUAGAUAUCUUUGCAAGCAGCUGGUUGACUUUGAGCGAUUAGUUGACUUUAAAAUGAUUGGUGGAUUUUGUUUUAUGGAGUAAGCCUGAUUCUUUUUAAGCAAUUGGUUGACUUUGAAAGUGAUUAGUUGACUAAAAUCGAUUGCUUGGCUUAAAAAAAGGGUGAUUAGUUAACUUGGAAAACGAUUAGUUGUCUUUUAAAGGUGAUUAGUUGACUGAAAACGAUUGGUUGACUUUGCUUUAUCGAGUGAGUGAGCCAAGAGUCAACUUGAUUCUUUUAAAGCCAUUAGUUUAGUUUAUAAAUUGAGUAAAGCAGUUACCAAUAAAGUGAUUAGUUGAUUUACUUAAAAAAAGGAGUAAACCGGUUAACCUUAACGAUUAAGUAAAUGAACUAUGUGUAUAAUUAUAAAAGAUUAGUUUGCUUUUUACACUGUAUAUUCAUAAAAAAGAUUUCAUUGCAUUUUCAGAGUUUUGGACAGCACUGUUAACAAUAUUGCAUGAUUCCUUUUGUAUAAAAAGCAUUUUGACAGUCAGGAGAUGCACUCUUAUCUAGUCUUCAUUUGGUCCUUCAUUAUAAAACAAUGAAAUGAUUAUCGCUAGAAAAUCAUUUAAUCAUCGUUUGGUUAGAACACACACACACACACACACACACACACACACACACACACAUUUACAGACAAACACCUGCUCAAUGUCAGACAUGCUGCAUGAGAUAGAAUGUCUGUUCAGAAUGUCAUACUAAUACAAUGAAUAUUGUGCACAGUUUAUUGCUGAAAUACUGUAUCCCACAAUGCAACGCAAUUUGACCUUGCAUUGGAAUGAAUAGGAACUAAAGGCACAAGUUUUCUUCCCAUGUUUAAUCCAAACAUUACAGGAAACAUUCAUUUAUUUACAUAAAACGUCAUACAAAAAGGUCAUUUUUAAAAUAAUAAACGUUAAAUUAAA